CAGUGGGUGUAAGUGCCACCCGGCGUCCGCUUCAGCCGGAAGCAACCGGAGCAGGCAUGGAGGUGUCGAAAUGUCUGAAGCCUCUGGAUAGCGGUCGCGACUUGGUGACGGUGCGCGUGUGCAGGCCGCAACGUGA
rnacentral:ncRNA from 1 species